rnacentral:rRNA from 1 species
UACGGGGGGUGCAAGCGUUAUUCGGAAUUACUGGGCGUAAAGGGCGCGCAGGCGGUCCUUUAAGUCAGAUGUGAAAGCCCGGGGCUCAACCCCGGAAGUGCAUUUGAAACUAAGGGACUUGAGUAUGGGAGAGGGAAGUGGAAUUCCUGGUGUAGCGGUGAAAUGCGUAGAUAUCAGGAGGAACACCGGUGGCGAAGGCGACUUCCUGGACCAAUACUGACGCUGAGGCGCGAAGGCGUGGGGAGCAAACAGGAUUAGAUACCCCGGUA